rnacentral:lncRNA from 1 species
CUGUGGCUGGGCUUCGGGCUGCUGCUCAGCGCAGAGCUCGACACCGUGGCCGCCGCGGGUUGUUCCGGUUGUGGAAAAUGUGACUGCAGUGGAGUAAAAGGGCAAAAGGAGAUUGGGUCCUGAUAUGUACCUGGAGAGAAUCAAAACUCCAUCCUGAAUGGGAAGGACCAUUCCAAGUGCUACUAACCACUGAAACAGACGUAAGAACUGCAGAAAAAGGUUGGAGUCACUAUACUCGAGUGAAAGCAUCCGUCAACCCUAGUACCUGGGAAGUUGUUCCUACAGAAGACUUGUUGGAAGUUAAAAUCACAGAAUUGUCUAGGUUGGAAGAGACCUCAAGAUCAUCGAGUCCAACCUCUGACCUAACACUAACAAGUCCUCCAC